UGGCGGACGGGUGAGUAACGCGUAAAGAACUUGCCCUUUAGACUGGGAUAACAGAGGGAAACUUCUGAUAAUACUGGAUAAGUUAGUAUAUCGCAUGAUAUGCAAAUGAAAGCUACGGCACUAAAGGAGAGCUUUGCGUCCUAUUAGCUAGUUGGUAAGGUAAGAGCUUACCAAGGCGAUGAUAGGUAGCCGGCCUUAGAGGGUGGACGGCCACAAGGGGACUGAGAUACGGCCCUUACUCCUACGGGAGGCAGCAGCA
rnacentral:rRNA from 1 species